rnacentral:misc_RNA from 1 species
UGAAACCUGGGAUUGGUGAUACUU